AACGAACGCUGGCGGCAUGCCUAACACAUGCAAGUCGAACGAGACCUUCGGGUCUAUUGGCGCACGGGUGCGUAACGCGUGGGAACCUUCCCUUAGGUUUGGAAUAACUCCCCGAAAGGGGUGCUAAUACCGGAUAAUGUCUUCGGACCAAAGAUUUAUCGCCUUUGGUUGUGCCCGCGUUGGAUUAGCUAGUUGGUAGGGUAAAAGCCUACCAAGGCGACGAUCCAUAGCUGGUCUGAGAGGAUGAUCAGCCACACUGGGACUGAGACACGGCCCAGACUCCUACGGGAGGCAGCAGUGGGGAAUAUUGGAAAAUGGGCGGAGGGCUGAUCCAGCAAUGACGGGUGAGUGAUGAAGGCCUUAGGGUUGUAAAGCUCUUUUACCCGGGAUGAUAAUGACAGUACCGGGAGAAUAAGCCCCGGCUAACUCCGUG
rnacentral:rRNA from 1 species